UUGAUUUUAAAGGAUGUGCUGGCUUUCUAAAAGCAUGUGCACUCUUAACAAAACCAAUAUCCACCUGUGCACCUUUUGUAGGCAGGAGUUGUAACAACUCUCUUGUCUAUGUCUCUUACAAACAACAAUUGAUCUACCUGAAUGUCUUUGAAUAACAUAUUGUAAUA
rnacentral:misc_RNA from 1 species